rnacentral:rRNA from 1 species
UACGAAGGGGGCUAGCGUUGCUCGGAAUUACUGGGCGUAAAGCGCACGUAGGCGGAUCAUUAAGUCGGGUGUGAAAGCCCUGGGCUCAACCCAGGAAGUGCACUCGAAACUGUCAGGCUUGAAUAUGGAAGAGGGUCGCGGAAUUCCCGGUGUAGAGGUGAAAUUCGUAGAUAUCGGGAGGAACACCAGUGGCGAAGGCGGCGACCUGGGCCAAUAUUGACGCUGAGGUGGCGAAAGCGUGGGGAGCAAACAGGG